UACGUAGGGUGCAAGCGUUGUCCGGAAUCAUUGUGCGUAAAGAGCGUGUAGGCGGCUCGAUAAGUCCGUUCUGAAAGUCCAGGGCUCAACCCUGGGAUGCGGAUGGAUACUGUCGGGCUCGAGUCCGGAAGAGGCGAGUGGAAUUCCCGGUGUAGCGGUGAAAUGCGCAGAUAUCGGGAGGAACACCAAUGGCGAAGGCAGCUCGCUGGGACGUGACUGACGCUGAGACGCGAAAGCGUGGGGAGCAAACAGG
rnacentral:rRNA from 1 species